CUUCUUAGACAGGCAGAUGGACUUCACAACAUAUGCGUGUCCUGCCCAAGCUUAUACUACACUGGUAAUCCUCAUAAAGUAAAAAUACCUCUUAGUCUCCAGAGAAAUCUCUUCAAGUUGGGAUUCUGGUGGGAUAUUAGGUCUAGGGGUAAGAUGAAAGAAAGCAUUUCAGAUUUGCCUUUUCUUUUUUCUUUUUUUUUUUUUUUGAGACAGAGUCUUGCUUUGUCACCAGACUGGAGUGCAAUAUUGCGAUCUUGGCUCACUGCAACCUCCAACUCCCAGGUUCAAGCGAUUCUCCUGUCUCAGCCUCCCGAGUAGCUGGGAUUACAGGCACAUGCCACCACGCCCAGCUAAUUUUUGUAUUACUAGUAGAGACGGAGUUUCACCAUGAUGGCCAGGAUGGUCUCGAUCUCCUGACCUUGUGAUCCGCCCACCCAUGCCUUCCAAAGUGCUAGGAUUACAGGCGUGAGCCACCACACCCGGCCCAUAUUCGCCUUUUCUAAAUACACAUGCCCAUGCCCCAUCACAGACCUAUCAUCUUUUUUUUUUUUUAGAGUUGGGGUCUGAUUCCGUUGCCCAGGCUGGAGUGCAGAGGCAUGCUCACGGCUCACUGCAAUCUUUAACUCCUGGGUUCAAGCAAUCCUCUACCUCUGCCUCCUGAAUAGCUGGGAUUGUGGGAUUGCAGGCAUGUGUCACUACUCUUGGCUAACUUAAAAAAAAAAUUUUUUUUUAGAGAUGGGUGUCUCUUUAUGUUGCCUAGGCUGGUCUCAAACUCCUGUCUUCAAGUGAUCCUCUCAGAGCCUCAGCCUCCCAAGUCGCUGGAAUUACACAUGUGAGCCACCAGACCCAGCUCACAGACCUAAAUAAUCUUAAUUUCCAGGAGGGUAGAAAUGGAAAAUGGGGGAGGAAAGCCAGAAUGUGUAAAAGCACCUCAGAUGAUCUGGCCAAUCUUUCCCUCUUUUUAAAAACCCCGUUGAAAAUAACUAUCUUAAAAGUAUAUGCUCUGUUUCAAUUACCAAGAGGCAGCUGUAAUGAAGAUAGUGACAAUACCAUUAACAAUGUGCUAGACACUGAUCUAAGGGAAUUCAUAUCAAUGAAUUCAUUUAAUUCUCACAACAUCCAACAAGGGAGGUAUUAAUUAUUAUUAUCCCCAUUUUAUGAGAUGGGAAUAGGCAAAGUUAAGGUUAAGAAUCAUUACAAAGCUAGCUUGUGGUAGAGCCAGGGUUCAAAACCUAGGAAGUGUAGCUUCAGUCUAUAGGAACAGAUGUGAAUCACAGCAAGCAAAAAAGGUGAGGCGUAUGAGCUCACAUCAACAUUUUCAUGCCCAAAGUUUCUCAUUUAUCUUGUCCCUUGGAGACCUAAAGUGUGGUUCUAUUUUUUAGAGCUCAUUCACUGCUGCACUUCUGAUCACUGAAUUGCCCUUGCCCUUUGAAUUAUUCAGUGUUUCUGGAGAAAUAGUUCUGAAAAAAUAUGCUCUAUUAUUUCUUUCUUUCCUCCUUCAGUUCCUCCCCUGCCAUGAAACCAGAUUCUGUUGAUACACAGAGAACUGUGCAGAAGUCUUCCACUAGAAGAGUGCGCAAAAGUGGGCUGAAAUUUCAUGAGGUCCAGUUCUUCUUGAGUAUGUUCCUAACAGGUGCCACUUUCCAUUUAGACUUGUCUGUAAAAUUAGCCUAUGAAUACUGGCUUGCCUCUGCAAUCACAUGCCUAGGUGGGGAGGUGGUGAAGGAGACAGGUGUGUAUACAUUCUUUUCUUUAAAGAAGGCUUGUUUUCAGUUGAAAAUGUGGAAAUUAAGACUUUCUUGCCUUCAAGAAUUAUGAUGUUGUGGGAGGAAAAAAAAAUCCUAAGGGUUAAGGGCCAGUUCUGCCACUUUGUUAAGUGUCUUCAACUAAGUCACUUAACUUUCUGAACCUCAGUCUCCUCACCUGUAAAAUGGCACCAUAAAUUUUUGCCCCACUUAUUUCACAAGGUUGUUGUGCUGAUCCAAGAAAGAACUCAGAUCUUCUGGUUUCAUGCCCAUGGUGUCCAUUUCAUCCAUCUAUCAGUUUUUCAUUUCUUUAUUCAUUCAUGCAACAUGUAUUAUAUCUCCCAAGGGUUAGCUAAGUGAAAAAUGUAUGCAUGUUGGGAGGUUGGGGGAAGAAAGGGAGAGAAGCACCCCAGAUUGGGAAAGGGCACUGAAGGUAGAGAAAAUGAGGUGUUUAAGACAGUGGUGUGAGCAAGGACCUACAGCAGCCCAUGACUCCACAUUCUAAUAUUUUUCAUGGUAUUCCAAUUCCUCUGUGGCCAUUAAUUCUUAAAGUUUCGAGUCAAAACCAUCUUAACCUCAUCCAAGCUGGGUUCCUUAGCUAAUACCUUCUUCUACAUCUUCUCUCCAGGCCCCCAUGGCUCCCUCUAUCUAAAGUACAGGUGGUGAGCAGAAGUAGUCAAGGCUUAUAAGCCAGGCUGCUCCUCAAAUGCAGCCAUAAGAAAAGAAAUCGGUGGGGUGUUUUAAAUGCAUGCCUGAUAUAAAGAUAAACCUCGGGUAUCAUAUAUCAGGGGAUCCCAACCCUCAGGCCACCCACUGGUACCAGUCCAUGGCCUAUUAGGAACUGAGCCGCACAGCAGGUGAGCAGCAGGCAAACAAGCGAAGCUUCAUCUGUAUUUACAGCCACUCCCCAUUGUUUGCAUUGCCGCCUGAGCUCUGCCUCCCAUCAGAUCAGCAGCAGCGUUAGAUGCUCAUAGGAGUGCAAACCCUAUUGUGAACUGCACCUGCCAGGGAUCUAGGUUGGAUGCUCCUUAGGAGAAUAUAAUGCCUGAUGAUCUCUCACUGCUUCCCAUCACCCCCAGUUGGGACCGUGUAGCUGCAGGAAAACAAGCUCAGGGCUCCCACUGAUUCUUCAUUAUGGUGCGCUGUAUAUUUCACUAUAUAUUGCAAUGUAAUAAUAAUAAGGCACAAUAAAUCUAAUGUGCUUGAAUCAUCCCAAAAGCGUUCUCCCCACCUCCACCCUGGUCUGUGGAAAAACUGUCUUCCAUAAAACCAGUCCCUGGUGCCAAAAAGGUUGGAGACCACUGUCUUAUAUGAUAUAUAAAGUGCAAGUUCUAUGUGUCCCAGAAAAGGAUUUUAAAGGUAAUUCAUGGUGUGUAUCAUGGCGUCUAUCUUGUUACACAUUAGUAAUACUUUGAAUGUGUAAAGUGCUUCUCCCUGUUCUGUUGGAUUUAUCUUUGAAGUAGCUCAUAAAGGUAAAGUUAUCAGUAUAGAAAACAUUCCUUCACUGGCCCUAUUUCAUAAAUUAAGGAACAAAGACUGGAUGCAACAUGUGGCAGAUUAUGCGAAAAAUCUAGUAGCUGAGCAAACGUAAGAAUUCAGGUUCCCUGGAUUCCAGGACAGAGUUGACUUCCCCAUCUGAAGUGAUACAUGAGCACAAUAGGUUUUCAUCGUCAUUCAGAUUAUAAUGGUUCCUUUUACUCUGAUAAUAUUGCUGAUAUUUCUAGAAAUAGCUUGUUCAUCCAUUUAUUAAUCUCAUAAACCCCUGACUGGGGGAAAGGGAGUGGAAAGUGGUCAGAAAUGGGGCUGGAACAGUAAUCAGGAAGCCGGAACCUCCAUUGCCUCAAGAGCUAAGUUCAAUGUCAGGCCUUUGUCUCGAGGGCAACGGGGAACUCUGUAAAGGUAUUUAAGUUGGGGAAUGUAGUGAUCAGCAGCAUUUGGCAGCAAUCACCCUGGGCUGGAGUGGGCCUGACAGGAAUGGGCAAAUCUUGGGGCAGGAAAUCCAGUCAGAAGAUUAUGACCAUAAAGCAGGUGAGAGAUGUUGGUGUCCCAAGGGCAAAGGGGGAUCCCAUCAAGACAUGAGAACCGCCACGUCGUUCUUUCCCCAAUCCCACUGUUUCUAGAUUUUUCCUUCUAGGAGGCCUGCAAAUGUGUUUCCGGGAGGAAAAUCCGUCCCUGCUAUUUCUCCAGCCUUCCCUUGUUACCGGUUCGGCCCUGCCCCUUUAACAUUCAGGAAUGAGAGUGGAAGCAGAAGGCCCAGGUCCCCGGAGGUCCCGACGCCCGGAUUCCACAGCCUGUGAGGGUCCCUUGCGCAGAGCGGGACGAGGCCACUGGCACUACGUAGUGACUUCACCAACAGCCUGCAGUACUCGUUAACGAGAUUUCGCCAGGCCCCUUGGACUAACGCCAGGAUUCUCGGUGCCCGCAGUCAGCGCUCUGGGAUUAGACAACGCACCACAGGCCGCGGCUCUCUGCUGACCCUCAGCAGCGAUAAGACCGGCGCGGACAAGCCAGCAGCCGCUAGCUCUCCCACAAGGCCGAGCGCGGCCAAAGGGCAGCCCCGCCCGCUCCGCCUCCCCCAGCUCUAUUGGCUAGUGCGCCUGCCACUCAGCCGCGCGCCGGACCCCGGCUUCGGGCCUGGAGGCGGGAUCCCAAGCCUCCUCGGCUCGGCUCGUCUCGCCUCGCCUCGCUUGUCCUUGAGGUUUACUGUGUUUGGCAUCGCAGUUCCGACGCCAGCCGCCGUUUCGCGACCCACGGCGGACUUGCAUAAACACUUUCUAGUUGGAAUCUCACCCUGUGAGGUGGGCAAGGUAGUGAUAUUCCUGUUUGACGCCGACAGAAGUAAGAGAGAUUGACUCUCAGAACCAUGUGGCGGGAUUUUAAAGGAGGAUCUUAACAGUGGCUCCGGACAGACCCGUGUUUUCUGCUCCUAGCAUUAACUACGUCGUUAAACCCUUCUGAAUUUAUUUCGUCUGUGAAAUGGGGAAAAGAUAGCCACCUUGCAUAACUGGUGAAGAAUUCGUAAACUGACAGAAGAAUCUAGUAAGAGGACUGGCCCGUGGUCGGCUCUUAAUGGUGUGUGUGGGGCUAUGAACAUUCCCAGGUCUUCUGACCUCUAGUCUGGGACUCUUUCUGCUAAACUAGGGAUUCUUAGAGGUCCAGAGACUUCGGGAGAUCCAGGGGCAUCUUCAAAGGGGUCCCUGAGUUCUAAACUGCAGAGGAACACUCUUAAGAGAGAUAAUAAAUAUUUCCACCACAUCUGUUAUGGAUAAUAUAUAUUUUGUCAUCUAUUUGCCAGAGACUGUUGUAAGUGCUUAUAUACAUUAAGUCACUUAAUCUUUACAGUGAACACUAAGGUACAUCCUAUUAUAAUUCCCAUUUUACAGAGACGUUAAAUACCUAUCUAGCUAAAAAGUGUGGGAGCUGUUUUACAUUCACGCAAUCUAGCUGAUAAAGCCACACACCUUAAUGUUUGUACUAUAUAUUAUUGUGCAAGAGGUGUAUUUGAUAAUGAUUCUUGUGUCACCAUUUACAAGAUGCCUCUGACUUUUAUUAAACUCUCAAAGGGCAGGAAAAGAAAAAAAAAUACAGAGGAACCUAAACCCUAAAUCAGAGACAGACUACAUGCAGAUAUACAAAUGGAUGAUUAGAAACCAAAGUUGUGGGUACCAUGUUUGCAAUUCCGUUUUAGCUGAGUGCUUUGGACUAUCACGUCCCUCAGUGGCUCCCUGGAGGAAGAAUGAUUGAAUGACAGGAUUGGAAUGGAAUGUAGCCAUCAUCUUAUCUGACCACACAGACACCUCCCAGCAGAUGAAUGCAUCACCUCCUCAUGAUAAUUUUGAAGACUUUCUGAGAAAGUGAUAAUAUUAGCCUAUUACCUCACAACCACAAGGAACACUACAGUGACUACAAACCCUAUGUGCCUCAUUCAACAGGUGUCACAGAAUAAAGAAAAAGACUGGGAGAGAGAUGGGAGCUGAUAGACCAGAGGAGACCAAAGACUGAAACUGAAGACUAAACCAUGGAAAUUGGGAACAAGCACUUACUCGCUUAGAGGGUGAAAAAAGUGAAUUUGCCUACAGGGCCAAUUUGGAAGCACCUCUCCCCGGAAGCCAGUCAAUGAAGAGCCAUUGGAGGAUUUUAAAUAAGGAACCGAAAAAUGGAGUCUGAAAAUAGAGGCGCAGAGACCGGUCAACCACAAUGAAGAACAAGCCAUUUUGACCUCCAUCCUGGCUCAUCUCCUCUGUGUUCUCAUAGCAUCAUAUUAUAGAAUGGAUCACAAACGCCUUUGCAGUUGCCUAUUUCUUUGUCCAUUUCUCCCUCCAGACUGCCUUUGUGAGAAAAACACCCAAAUGCCACAAGUGCAUCCCCAGGGAGCUGCAGGGUGGCAGGAGCUGAGGAUGCAAAAACAUAAUUGCCUUCUAUCUACUCUGAUUUGAGCUUCAUCAAAUCCUUUGGCUCCCAAGGCAUUCUGCAGCAGAUGUGUGCACAAUAUUCCAGCACUAGGACUUGUGUCUGCGGGUACUGCUCGAGGCCCAAGAGUCUGAGGGUCUGCAAAGCCUCCAAGCCCUUCCCCUUCCUCCCAGGCCUCAGGGCCUGUGCUGGCCACCCUCCUAUACAGCCCUUACUUGGCAUUCUUGCUAAGUCCUGUGGGGGCUCCAUCCUUGACUCUUUUCAUUCCACGCUGAUUUCUUCUGGGCUCUGCGCCUCAGGGGAGAACUUGCAAUGCUAGUAAUAAACAAAGAGUACUCAUGAUAAAAAAAUGAAUUUUGCUGCCUUAAGAGAGAACAGCAGAGCUUAAGGGCUUUCGUAGGUUUCUGAACAGCCACCUAUCUUUUCCGGCCGUUGUCCACCCAUGCACCCAUCCAUUCUGUAAAACUGUUUUGUGCUCACUGUGCUCAAAAAGCAGGAAGGUUUUUCCCCAAGGUAGUUCACAGCAGAAUGAAAUACAGACUAGAAACCAGAUAAGCACCAUGAGGCGAUUUGAAGAUAAAAGAUCAUUGUCCUCUACCAUAAACCAUGAGGCCUUAGGGAGACAUGUGUAUACUCACACCCUCCGCCAUGACAAGGCAAUAGCUUAUACAUGGGAUUUCAGCUCCCCCAGAAGAGCUAAAUAAGGGAAACCUACUAAUGCCAGUGUUUGGUCACAUAGAAGGUGCUGAAAAACCCAUGGUGACCAAAAAGGCCAGUGGUUGCCCCACCCUCCAACGCGCACACACACACACACACACACACACACACACACUCUCUUCUCCAAUUUGACCCAGCCAUACUAUUGCACCUCUCUGACACAAUAGGCUGUUUCAUAUACCUUUGCUAUCUUUAUGUUUGUCUUCCAGGGCCUGGUCUGCUUGGUGAGACCUCAGCAGCUUUGGAACCUGCUUUUCUAGAGACCUCUCCAGAAUCUCCUGGCCAGGUUCAACCUCCACCAUUACUGUGCAUUGUCCAAAUCUUCCUUGCACUUAGCACCCUGGUGCAUGUGUGUGUGACCACAGGCCAGCCAGUGAGUGUGCACUUGGAAAUUUCACUCAUCCUUAAAUCCGUGAGGCCCAGAACAAAAACAAUCAGAUGUUCUGAAAAGUAUCAGUGUUAAAUACUGAAGUAUCUUCUUGUUAAAAUAUUCUUCUUGAUCUGUCUCUCAUAUUCAAUCAUUCACUAACUCAAUUUCAGACAUUUAUUGAGCACCUACUAUGUGCCAGACAUUAUGCUCAGCCUACCUGUCAUGGUCUCUUGAAAGAAUCUUCUAAACCUGCAUCUUAAAAUUACCUUUGGGGAUUGUGCUGAUAAUGUGUAUUCAAGUCUUGUGGUGAACAGGAGGAAAAAUAUAUCAUCUUACAUUUGCA